UUCUUUGGAGAGUUUGAUCCUGGCUCAGGACGAACGCUGGCGGCGUGCCUAAUACAUGCAAGUCGAGCGGACCGGAUUGGGGCUUGCCUUGAUUCGGUCAGCGGCGGACGGGUGAGUAACACGUGGGCAACCUGCCCGCAAGACCGGGAUAACUCCGGGAAACCGGAGCUAAUACCGGA
rnacentral:rRNA from 1 species